CUCAAACGUGUGACGCUUUCUCACUCUCGUGUUACCGUUGGAUCAUGUGGUAGACUCGAUGACCGUUCUCAGGCACUUGUCCGAGAGUUUAAAAAAAAAAGGGACUAUUGAGGGCUGAUACUUUCCAUUGGUGCUAUUUUUUUCUCAUGUGAGGGGAGUACAAUUUCCAUAACACUCUUGGCCUCUCUGAUUUAAUCUAACGUGAAUUUUAGAAGAAAAACUGGAAAAGUGGAGUUCGACUCUCUCCUCUCCUCUUUUUUUGGGUCCAAGCCACCCAGGUGAAUGAUGCAUUCUGCUCAGCGACUCUACACUGUAAGCUGUACAGAGUCUGUCCUUUCCCUUAAGUAAGGAGCCUGCCCCAGGUCAUCGCCCAUGCCUUGGGCAUGGUCAUACGGAUUACCUAUGCUUCUGGGAUGCCUGAAGCAGAACUCGAAGAUAAAAAGUGUCCUGAGACUUUAAGCGUUGAAAGAGUGGUGUGAAUGUGUGAAAAACUAUGUUAUUCUGUCACAAAGUAUCCAUUGUUAACCUUCUGAGAGAACUGUACAAGGAAGUCAGAUGUGGGGCUGGUCAUGAGGAAGACAUGAUACCAGAAGAUAUUUGAAGAUGGAAGAAGUGCAGCCAAAGGGGAGCUUCCUAAAACCCUGAAAUCACGCCAGCGCCACUCAGGAAGGCUACCUGCUUUGAUCCAAAAGAAAAAAAGACUCUUGUGAACCUGUCAUUACCAAGAAAUAAGGAGGAAAUUGAUUUGGUUGACAUUUCUAGAGCCAUUCACUAAAUCUCUGAAGAGAACAUUAUGUAAUGAGACUUCCAAAAUUCCAGUAGUAUUC
rnacentral:lncRNA from 1 species